rnacentral:misc_RNA from 1 species
AAGUCGUAACAAGGUUUCCGUAGGUGAACCUGCGGAAGGAUCAUUAAAAAAUCUUAAUAAUGAGCCGCAAGGCUCUGAUAUUUUGUGAACUGUGUGUGGUGAUUGAAGUGCGUGGGAUGCUGUGCUGUGCUAGUGUUUAUUAUGACAUUGGUCAGCGUACAUCAUACGAUACAACGACACUACAAACCUUGAUAAUACAUAUGAUUUUGAUGUUGAGGAAGUAUUAUUAUAUCAAUAAUAUGUAUACAACUUUCAACAGUGGAUCUCUCGGCUCUU